AAUUCCCCUGUCCGCCCCCAAUCCGAGGCGGAAGCACCGCACCGCAGCCGACCGCGCAUUGAUGCCUACCCCUUCCCCUGCCCGCUCCGGAUCCUUCCAUCCAUCACCAGCUCCACUUUCCUUCUAUUUCCGCCGCCACGCCACGCCACGCGCCCCUCGGCCAAGGACAAGGCUCCGGCCGCCGCCACCGCCUCUGCCCCGGCUAUAAAGCCGCGCCCUUUGGCCGCUCCGCCCCUCCUCCUCCUCUCUUCCUCCUCCUCGCCGCGCCCUGCCCGGUCCGCUCCCCCUCCUCCUCUCUUCGUCCGGGCGGUGCCUCUCUCCUCCGACCUCCCCGCCGCGCUCCGGCCGGCCCGCUGCUCCUCCUCCGCCCUUCUUCCGGGCCGCGCUCCUCGAGCCGGGUUUCAUCUUGCUCGCCCUCCUCGAUCGAUUUUGCCCGUCUAGAAUCGCGUCUGGGUUUGAUUUUGCCCGUCCUUUUGCCCGUUUAGAGUCGCGUCCGGAUUUGACUUUGCUCGCCGUCGCCGCCCCGCCUGAUUUGAUUUUGCUCGUUCUCGCCGUCGUCCGCUUAGAAUCGCGUCCGAUUUGAGUUUGCUCGUUCUCAGUUCGUCGGUUUAGAACCGCUCCCGAGUUGAUUUUGCGCGUCCCCGCCGUCGUCAGUUUAGAGUCGCUCGCUUCUGAUUUGGUUCUGCUCGUCCACGCCGUCGUCCGUUUACGUUUUUGCUCGUUCUCGCCGUUGCCCCGACGCGCCCGCAUGUUCUUGGUCCGUCUCGUCGAGGGUCUCCGUCUGGUUUGCGAUUCAGAAAUUUCUGCGUGUGCUUCUGUUGUCUGAGAGACGCUUUGGAUCCUGCGUUUCUUCGCGUUCGUGUCGGCGCGAGCGUUGCAGGAACGGUCGGGUCUUGGUUUUGAAAUUGGAUUACGGGCCGGAGAUGGAGAGGCGGAGAGCAAUUUUGUCAGUUUGUCGUGCUAGUUCAGAUCGGUUCCUAGGCUCCUGCGUUGUUCGUCGGUUGUUGUCUCAUCUCAAACGGCUAGCUUGUUCGUGUUAGCCUAGAUACUAUGGUUCCUAUGUCGAUUCUCAUUGUACCAGCUAGCUUGUUUCACUUCCGUCAGGCUAGAUGCAGGGGUGAUUUUGUUCUGAUGGGUGUUAAUUUCUGUUCUUUUCAAUUCAAUUGGUUGGUUACUUCCUAUCAUGCUCUGUGUAUGUUCCCAUAUAUGCUGAUGUGUGUUCAGGGGUGCCAUUUCGAGCAGGCAGGCAUAGCAGAAAGUUUUAAAAGAGUGCAAAUCAUGUGGCUUGCUGCUUGACUAAUUGAACACCUGCUGCUGCUACUGUAGGACAAGGUUUCCUUCUUUUAUUCCUCGUGUUGCUAUUUCCAUUUUCAUAUAGGAGUACACUAGAUGAAUUGCUGCUAGCCCCUUAGGCUUCGUUCUGAUUGCAUAGCAUUACUCCAGAAUUUUGUCAUUGCACACCUGCGCAUAUAAUUCUGCUAUGAGCAUAACUUCCAGACUUUAUUUAUCUGUGAAAGCACCUUCAUCACAUGUUUUCUAUCAAUGCUGCUCAUGUCCCUUUUGUUUGUCCUGUUAAAUUUUAUGGCAUCAACUUGGAGCAAAUUUUGUACUCAUUGGUUCAAAUAUCAAGAAUGCUGACUUCUGUAUUUGUCGCUACGUAAGCCAUGCACUUGGGAAGCCUGGGCAUGAUUAGGAUUUGGAUUGCAUAUAGAUUUUGUGCCAUGUUUGUUUAGAACCUGGUUGUGACCUAAUAUAGUGUAAAUCUGCUAAUUUUUUAAUUUCAUUUAUGUUCAACGCAAGUAGGUUUUGUUCGUAAGUGGUAUUUCUUUUGCGUGUGCAUGAACACUCACGCUGUCACUUUUUCUUAUCAUAAUCAUUUACCGUGAUGUUUGACCAUACAUUUCUACUGUUCUUUGUUCCCUUUUGAGGUUCACUGACUCAAUUAUGCAUGAGAUAUGAUAUCAUUUACUGCUGUCCAGUCACUGAAAUAAUGCUUUUCUUGCUUUGCCUUGACUUUGUAACAAGAAUAAGCAUGCGUCUCUGUGCCUACAAACUUGUGGGUAGUGAUGAUGAUCUAACUAGCUUCCUGUUUUCAGGAAUGAAGAUCUGAAUUACCCUCACCCCUCUACAGAAAUCAGUUUACUCAUUCAGUUUCUAGAACUUCUUUAUAGCUUUCUGAGUUUACUUUGGUCUUGCAUGUAUUAGCUUUCUGUUUGUACCCCCUAUCUAUGUUUGUUUCUCUGUGUGUUUCUUGUGUGCAAGUGCUCCAUUGUGUGUGUCUUGACUGUGUGUGUGUGAUGUGCCCCUAUCUAUGUAUGUUUCUUUGUCUGUUUCAUGUGUGCAAGCACUCCAUUGUCUGUGUGUGACUGUGUUUGAUUGCUUAGAUGGGGUGAUUCUGAUUGUGUUACUGCUUAUAUGGUCUGUCCAAUUGGUUUCUUCUUCAUGCUUUGCUUGUGUUCCAGUGUCGUCUCCCCAUAUAUGGGGAUGUGUUGAGGGAUGCAAACCAUGUAGGCCGUUUCGAGCAGGCAGGGAUCCAGAGAUCUCUCCUGCUGAUAGAUGAUGAUAGGCUGAGCAGAAAAGUUUGAUUCUUGUAACACUCACUUGCUUGGCUUCCACUCCUUUGCGUGGCCGAUUUGGCAUCCAAUGCAUCCCAUGCCCUUUUCCCUGUUUAUCUCACUCACUCAUCACAGCACCCUUUUCCCUGUUUUUGUUCCUUAUUUUUCUUACCAUACUAAUCAUGUUGGUGUUUGACACUACAUUUUUUGUGAUAUCUGUGUUUCGUCAUGUCUUAUGUGGAUAUCAUAUUCUUUUUUUUAUAUUACUGAUGUCCAAUCACUGGAAUAAUGCUUUUCUAAGUAUUUCAGGCAGGAUAUAGACAAAUGUCACAUUUGCUCUUCCUUGCGUUUCUAAGGACACUGAUGUGUCGGGUUUGCUUACAGUGCAGGACAGAUAGUUCUAUAAAGAAUCAUAUAUUGGAAUAUUUCUUUGAGAAAGAAGUUAGAUAUCUAUGACACCAGAAAUAUUUUGGCAAUUCCAUGACUAAUUGGCCGUGAUGACUUCAAGUAUAAACAAAAGAUGGCUGCUUCUUCUGAGGGUCAUCUUGAACUGAACAACUCAUCAUUCUAAUUUUAGCUCACCUCUACAGUCAUACAAACUGCCAUGCCAAGGACUGCUCAGGUUUCCUAUCGCUUUCUGUUUUACCAACUAAGGUAAUCAAAUUUUGAUCUUCAGCUUGCAAAUUUAUCACCUUAUGGGAGGGAAAGGUUUGCAUGUACAUGAGCUCUGAUUGUCUACAUAUAUACUUGAAUUGCUUUGGAUUUGUCGGACUACUUUUCUACAUGAUGUUCUCCAUGAUUCAGUUGAUUUGUUAAUUUGAGUAUUUUCCCGGUGAGUUCUUUAGGUUCAUCUUGUGACACAAAAUACAAUUUUGGUACGUGCAGACUCUGAAAUUUGGUGAUAAAGAAAAGAAUCCAGGGUGGAUGGAGGUUUUCAUGAUGGCUAAUUUGAUUUGUUAUGGUUCUGAUGGUGUGCUUCUUGUGUUUGAACCGAAGCCGUGGAUCACUCAUCAACCUGGUCUGUGUUUGUAUGUGUGGUGAGCUCACAUAUUGUGUCAGUAUCUACCUACGCAGCUGAAUUAUUUCCGGAUAGGACAGAGGUGCAAUGUUUACAUCCAUGGCAGAAGGUUCUUUAACACUGAACUCAUCAAAGGUCCUUGGACUCAAGAGGAAGAUGACAAAAUUAUUGACCUUGUAAACAAGUAUGGACUAACAAAAUGGUCGCAUUGCAAGGUCAGCUACCAGAACUUCCUGCUGCUGAUCCUGGGAUGUUUCCGAACAUGCUCCCGAACACGUUCAAUUUAUCCGCUCUAGGACAGCCACUGCCACGACACAGUAGGUUACUCGUCAUUCUCGGCGUGUUUACUUUGGUGGACUUCCUCCGAUCACUAAUGAACAGACGGUUGCUCUAUUCUUCAAUCAAGUUGUGGCUGCUAUCGGGGGAAACACAUUUGGUCUAGGUGGCAUAAUCAUCUGAAUCCAAACAUAUGGAAGGAUGCUUGGACUACUGAGGAGGAACAUGCACUGAUUAAUGCCAUCAGGUAUUUGGGAAUAAAUGAGCAGAAAUAGCACAAGUUAUUCCUGGAAGGUACUGCAUGCCAAACAACUUACAUUAUGGGUCUUGCUUGUAGGAUGCUUUCUGUUUGUGCCCUUUCUAUCUCUUGUGUGUGUGACUGACUGUGUGACUGUGACUGUGUAUGUGUGACUGACUCUGUGUGACUGCUACUGUGUGUGUGUGUGACUGAAUCUGUUUGUGACUGUGACUCUCUGUGUGACCGACUGUGUGUGUGUGUGUUUGAAUUAGUAUUGCAUUUGCUUGAUGGUGUGUGCUGUAUGCUUUGCUUGAUGGUGUGUCUUGAAUGGUUUGCUUGAUGGUGUGUCCUGAAUGCUUUGCUUGAUGGUGUGUCCUGAAUGCUUUGCUUGAAUGAUUGGUGUUGUAUGUUUUGUUUGUUGUGGUGUAACACUGCCUUUGCCGGUCCCAAGCCCGGAUGUGAAAAUGUGGAGGGAGCUGCAUUGAUAUUGCAUUUGCUUGAUUGUGUGUCAUGUAUGCUUUGCUUGAAUGAUUGAUGUUGCUGUAUAAUUUGUGUUUUGUAUUGUUGUUGUUUUAACACUGCCUUUGCCGGUCCCAAGCCCGGAUGUGAAAAUGUGGAGGGAGCUGCAGUUACCUUCUUUAUAUUGUUUGCAUUACACACA